rnacentral:rRNA from 1 species
AGUGAACGCUGGCGGCAGGCCUAAUACAUGCAAGUCGAACGGCAGCACAGCAGAGCUUGCUCUGUGGGUGGCGAGUGGCGGACGGGUGAGGAAUACGUGGGAAUCUGCCCAGUCGUGGGGAUAACGUAGGGAAACUUACGCUAAUACCGCAUGCGCCUUCGGGGAAAGCCGGGGACCUUCGGGCCUGGCGCGAUUGGAUGAGCCCACGUCGGAUUAGCUAGUUGGCGGGGUAAAGGCCCACCAAGGCGACGAUCCGUAGCUGGUCUGAGAGGAUGAUCAGCCACACUGGAACUGAGACACGGUCCAGACUCCUACGGGAGGCAGCAG